AAGCUAGUAUUCUAAACUAAACUAUUUUCUGG
rnacentral:tRNA from 1 species